CUGCUGCCUCCCGUAGGAGUCUGGUCCGUGUCUCAGUACCAGUGUGGGGGACCUUCCUCUCAGAACCCCUACGCAUCAUCGGUUAGGUGGGCCGUUACCCCGCCUACUGCCUAAUGCGCCGCAUGCCCAUCCCUGUCCGGCCGAAGCCUUUCCUGCCUCCGGGAUGCCCCGGUGGCAUGUACGCGGGUUUAGCCCGCCUUUCGGCGGGUUGUCCCCCUGACAGGGGCAGGUUGCAUACGUGUUACUCACCCGUGCGCCGGUCGCCGGCGGAG
rnacentral:rRNA from 1 species